rnacentral:rRNA from 1 species
UACAGAGGUCCCAAGCGUUGUUCGGAUUCACUGGGCGUAAAGGGUGCGUAGGUGGUCGGGUAAGUCUGAUGUGAAAGCUCUGGGCUCAACCCAGAAAUGGCAUUGGAUACUAUUCGGCUAGAGGGUUGGAGGGGGGACUGGAAUUCUCGGUGUAGCAGUGAAAUGCGUAGAUAUCGAGAGGAACACCAGUGGCGAAGGCGAGUCCCUGGACAACUCCUGACGCUGAGGCACGAAAGCUAGGGGAGCAAACAGG